GCGGACGGGUGAGUAAUGCUUGGGAACUUGCCUUUGCGAGGGGGAUAACAGUUGGAAACGACUGCUAAUACCGCAUAAUGUCUUCGGACCAAACGGGGCUUCGGCUCCGGCGCAAAGAGAGGCCCAAGUGAGAUUAGCUAGUUGGUAAGGUAACGGCUUACCAAGGCGACGAUCUCUAGCUGUUCUGAGAGGAAGAUCAGCCACACUGGGACUGAGACACGGCCCAGACUCCUACGGGAGGCAGCAGUGGGGAAUAUUGCACAAUGGGGGAAACCCUGAUGCAGCCAUGCCGCGUGUGUGAAGAAGGCCUUCGGGUUGUAAAGCACUUUCAGUUGUGAGGAAAAGUUAGUAGUUAAUACCUGCUAGCCGUGACGUUAACAACAGAAGAAGCACCGGCUAACUCCGUGCCAGCAGCCGCGGUAAUACGGAGGGUGCGAGCGUUAAUCGGAAUUACUGGGCGUAAAGCGCGCGCACGCGGUU
rnacentral:rRNA from 1 species